rnacentral:lncRNA from 1 species
ACAAAUAAAAAAGAACAGAGGGCGUGACCAGGAGGUCGCCCCUGUGCGAUGCGAGGAGACAGAGGAAUGGGGAGGUCAAAUUCAUGAUGGAAAUCACGAGAUUAGGAGGCUAAGGUCUCAAUACUAUCAUCCUUGCUCGAUUUCUAGGGCUUUGGAAUGGCAUGGAUUAUAAGACAAUAGGUCAAAACGAAUGAAAUGGAUGACAACACUCCUACGGGCAAAGGUGAUAUGUUUAAAAACAAUGAACGAAUAGAUAAGUCAUGAGAAACAACGGGGUGGCUUGAACCGAUAACAUGGAAGAAGAAAAGAACUCAAAAGUCAUUCACCAAUAAUCCGAUUCGGGUGGUAGAAAAGUCUUGGAAGCGGGGCAAUUAUGGAAAGAUUUAGUGAUGAUUUGUUCACUAAGUAUAUGGGUUUCUUAUCGGGUCAAAUUGACCUAGUUAUUUACAUUUUGGAGUUUAACUUCAAUGUUUGUUUUAUCUAAGCGCUAGUAUGUCAAUGUAGUAGUUGGUUAUGUUUGUUUUAUAAAAACUUUGGUUAUUGAGCAGGUUUUGUCUUCGUAAGGAAUGGUCAUUUUGCAAACUGGUCAUAG